rnacentral:miRNA from 1 species
CUAAAAAAGUAAGUGCUUCCAUGUUUUAGU